rnacentral:rRNA from 1 species
CUACGGGCGGCAGCAGCGGGGAAUAUUGCACAAUGGGCGCAAGCCUGAUGCAGCCAUGCCGCGUGUGUGAAGAAGGCCUUCGGGUUGUAAAGCACUUUCAGCGGGGAGGAAGGCGUUAAGGUUAAUAACCUUGUCGAUUGACGUUACCCGCAGAAGAAGCACCGGCUAACCCGUGCCAGCAGCCGCGGUAAUACGGAGGGUGCAAGCGGUAAUCGGAAUUACUGGCGUAAAGCGCACGCAGGCGGUCUGUCAAGUCGGAUGUGAAAUCCCCGCGCUCAACCUGGGAACUGCAUUCGAAACUGGCAGGCUAGAGUCUUGUAGAGGGGGGUAGAAUUCCAGGUGUAGCGGUGAAAUGCGUAGAGAUCUGGAGGAAUACCGGUGGCGAAGGCGGCCCCCUGGACAAAGACUGACGCUCAGGUGCGAAAGCGUGGGGAGCAAACAGGAUUAGAUACCCUUGUAGUC